ACCGACGAGGGUGACUAUCAGGUCAAGAUGAAGAACCUGAUUCGAUUCCUCGAAGGUGGCGACAAGGGCAAGGUCACCCUGCGUUUUCGCGGUCGUGAAAUGGCGCACCAAGACAUCGGCCGCAAGCUGAUGGAGCGGAUCGCCGCCGACCUCGAGGACCUGGGUACCGUGGAGUCCUUUCCGAAGAUGGAAGGGCGCCAGAUGAUCAUGAUCAUUGCCCCCAAGAAGAAGUGAUUCGACGGCCCGUUUAACGGCCGGAAGGCAUGCCAGCCUUCCGGUGGCCCCGAAUUUUCUGAAAAAACCUCGAGCGGAGUGUUUCUCAUGCCGA
rnacentral:misc_RNA from 1 species